rnacentral:rRNA from 1 species
UACAGAGGGUGCGAGCGUUGUCCGGAAUUACUGGGCGUAAAGGGCGCGUAGGCGGCUUGGUAAGUCGGGGGUGAAAGUCAGCGGCUCAACCGCUGGACUGCCUUCGAGACUGCCUGGCUUGAGCAUGGUAGAGGCUGGCGGAAUUCCCGGUGUAGCGGUGAAAUGCGUAGAUAUCGAGAGGAACACCUGCGGCGAAGGCGGGUUGCUGGGCUGACACUGACGCUGAGGCGCGAAAGCUAGGGGAGCGAACGGG